UCCGAUCUGAUCUGAUCUGAUCUGCACAGAUCCACACCCACGCUGCACGUAAAUGCAUUAAAAUCGAAUUAACCCAAAUUACAUUUCCUUUGUUGCUCUCCAAGAUACAAAUCAAAAUGAAUUGAAAAAGUCAAGACAAAGCCAGAGGCGGCACAGGCGGGGAGGGAGGGAGGGUGGCGGAGGCAGUGGCAGUGGCAAGCCUAUUGAAGUGCAGCCAACUGUAUGCACACCAGAGCCAAUGGCAAUCAAUCGGAUGAUUGAAAAAGCCUCCACUCCAUCGCCACAGCCACAGCCACAGCCAUUGCUGCCUCCGUCUCCGCCUCCGCCCCCACAGCCACUGCAUAACAUUUCAAUUUGGCCACAACAAUGUGUACUGCAAUAUGCAAUAUGCGAUUAAAUGUGCAGCCAAAGUGAGAUUACAAGCCACAGGCGGCACCGCAAGAGUCGCGUCCGCCACCAAACGCCAACAUCGAUGCUCACAGGCCACAGUUUUGCCCCUGACUCUCCGUCGUUUGUGCUCCAGUUUGUGCCCCACCUGAGCGGAACUGAGCUCCAGCUUACAGGCUGCCACAGCUCCUACUUGCCUCCUCCUCCUCCUCCACCGCGUAGCAGCGUCAAUCAAAGUCAUCACCACUUGACAUACAAAAGACGUUCGAGUCACUGCGAGAAAAGACUUCAGCAUAUUCUAACUAUUUCGAUCUGGAAACCACUUUGACGCGCAGUAGAAUGCGGCAGGGACUGCAAUAGCCCACCGAGGGGCACUGCCGCAUGACGGAGUUCAAAGUGUUUUCCCACUCGAUUCUCGUUCAACUUUUGUGUUCAUUCAUCUUUUGAAGAUGACGCUGAUGAUGCUAUUGUGAGAGAGAACCUCUCACAUAAUAAUAUUUAAUGUGAGGCCAUUGUCCACCUGACAGACGAGAGCACGUGCUGUGAGGAAUGAAUGGAACCUCAAGUUAUAUCACAAAUACAAGUGGGUCUUCAACUAGAACGAUCUCCUCCAUAAUCUGGGCAUUCCGUCAGUGCAAUAACAACAUUUAAUCAUUUCAAAACGCGACCCUCCCUCUAAAUCAACAUACGAUCCCCACAAUUUGUGAGGCGUGCGCCGCAAUCAAUCGACACUUUGGGGCGCAUCGAAUGUUUCAACACUCGAAACGAAUCAAGCAUGGAAAUGGGGAAACUAUUCGGGCGAAUACUCGUACCAGGCCGGGACAAGAGGGGCAUUGUGCAAGGUCUGGGGAGGGGCACGACCGCACCGUAUAAAAGAUCGAGUAUAUAUAUGUAUGUGUAUAAAUAUUAUCUCAAAUGUGGAGCAGAUCUCGUGAGCUGCUGCUGCUGCCACAUCUUCUGUUUAUGCUCGAAAAAACCCAAAAUAAACAACGAAAUGAGUUUCCUCAAACUAUAAAUAAUCGAGACGACGGGCCGCCCCACUAGCCGCCGCAUAUGGGGGCCAUCAGAAGCCCAGACCACAGACCCCAGACCCCAGACCCCAGACUGAUUCUUAACCUCAUCUCUAUCUUUGGAAUAUGUGGGAAUGCUAUACCUGUGGGAAAAACGUGUCACGCCACAUGCAGCAGUACCCCUCAGUCGUUCGGCCUGGUUUCUGCCUGGAAUCCUUCGAUUGGCUGUCUCUUGAUCAGUCCCAAUUCGAUAUAGAGAUUCAUUCUUGAUCUAGAUUUCGUUUUUGAUCAACUAUCUGUCGUUUAAAAGAUCAUAGCACUUAUAUUUUAACAGAUAUUGCUCUGGUUUUUGGAAGUUCUACCUAAAUUUCCAAACUUGUAACGAUUGAAUCAAUCUAUAGUUGUAUCCCCGGUAAUCCCAGGUAUUCAAGUGGUCUAUAUUCGAUCCUCAAACGUGCACAAUUUGUUUAGAAUUCAAGCGAUUUCCCUGGAAAUAUUUAUACGACAAGGCUUUUAACCGCAUUUCCUGUUAAUCAAUUCACACGAGAAGUUAAUCAGAGAUACUAUUUACCACGGGAAUCUGUG